UGUAUCUGCAGGCUUGGUAGAAGCGGAGCUGCGUUACCAGUGAAUCCAGUUCGGUCAAACAACAGUCUCUGAAGCAGGUCGAAUCAUGAAAUCCUAGGAAGAUAGCUACAAGGUUACUUGAUCCUUUUCUUGCUCACUUGAAGACAACACAAGAUUAAGUUGCUAAAGGUGGCUACUCAAUUGUUCUCAAGCCUGAGGAUAGUGACGGUGCGACUUGGUUCACUAUUAGUAAGUAAACAUUUGUAAAACACCGUCACUAAUUUCUCACUUAAUCUUUGCUUGGCAGGUUUUGACAACGGUUACAUUCACUGAGAUCCUCCCGUCGACAAAAGCCAUCGUCUCUUUCAAAGUCCCUGACAACAGUUCUGGCAAGGUUUAAAAAAUAAUAGUAAUAACCCUUUUGUGUAUGCAUUUCAGUGGUUUUGAGAUUGAUACCAUCAACUUAUGAAAUCUGUUAACAACUUGAGGUCCAGUACUUCCAUGACCAUGCAGCAGUCUCCGUACCGCAGCUUUGAAGCAGAACCCAUUGAUCGAUGUAACAGCCACUCUAGAUACACCAGUCAUUUGGUGCUGACGCUGGAUAUGACACAUCCUCCAAAACUUUCACCAAGUACAAUGCUAGAAACGUUACAAAGUACACUGAAUCAUUAUUCUCCACUCCUCACGCAAUCCAUCAUUGAAUGCAUAUACCAUUACUUCAUUUCUCUGAAUCCUGGAGAUUACCUCAACUAUAAAAAGGUAUGUUAUAUCCAUCAAAUUCAUCGGUUCAAUCUUCUCAACUAUAAGGUCUUUCCUUUUUUUGUGUUAUUGUUCCUCACACAAAGAGAGAUCAUUUUUUUUUUGUUCUUUGUUUCUUUUUUAUCCGUUUCAGAGUUUGUAAUUCAAAAACAAAAUUAAUUUGAAGCCGGCUACACCGCAGAUUGAUCGUCUGAGUUUUGAUAUUUAUUCAAAGUCUCAGUUGUUUUUGAACUUUGUCAUUUUUUUAACCAGCACUUUGUCUUCUUCAUGUUUGUGUUUUAUUGGUUCUUCGCUGAUCUGUUUGCUUGGUUUGUUGUUCCUUUCAGUUUGUGAACUGUAUCUUUCUCUAUACCCUAAUAUUGAAUGUUUCUAUCUACAUCAGGAACCAAAACAGAAUAACCUUCGUCAAAAUACUUUGGCACUGUAUUGUCUACAUGAGAUAACAAUGGUGAGUUUCACAUUAGCUUUUACUUUUGGAAAUCUGUGAACCGUUUUGACAAGGUGAAGCAUAACGUUUUCACUUGAUAACCUCCUCGAAGACCAAAAAAGAGAUCAAGAACUGUUCAGAAACAAAUGAAUGUAAUGUUAUAGCACAAAUAAUGUUACAGCUUGCUUUGUUGCUUAACAUUUUCAUUCUUGGUUGCUGUCUCUUUUCCGGAUUUGGCUAGCAGAGCAAGUAACACAGGCUCUUAUGAAUCCCCUGAAGCUGCGGAAACAUGAUCAGAGGUGUGAUUCCUUGCUUUGUUUUUUUUUCUUCGGUUUCUUCAAUUUAGUGUCCACGCAACUCUUUGUUCUAUGGUUAAUUUCUAUACACAUUGCCACCAUUGAUUCCAGAUUAUAAUAAUUCAUUGUGUUUUGGAGUUCCUGCUGUAGAUAUAUGUCUAAGCCAUUCCUCAUGUUUUGAUGUUUGAUAUAUUGUUAUAACUGAAAGUCAACUGGUACAAAUAUUAUUCUUGGUAUUAUAUAUUGAUUCAAUAUUUUUGAUCCAGUCACUAGAAAGACAAAAGUGAAACUGUGAAGAAAGGUAAUAGUACUCUUUGAUCAAUAUAAGAAUUCCUUUCUUGGUUCGAUGAGUGUGCUAAUCUCACAUGGAUCCUCGACAAUCUUUUACCAAAAAUCCAAACUAAAAGUUGGUUGUUAUAAUACAAGUUUUGUUGUACUUAAGGGAAAUGUUAUGUUAACGAAAUAGAAAAAGAAACUACAAGUCUUACAAACUUAUUACUAACCAAGUAUUUUACUAUUAUAGUUUCAAAAAGAAAAGUAUUUUACUAUUUUCAAUCAAAUGACAUUUUCUAAAAAAUAUGAUAUUAUGAGUACUAAUCACUGAACAUUUAAACCUAUACCGUUUCUAAGUUAGUUAAAAUACAUUUGAUCCCCCUUCUAAAUCAACACAUAUAUUACUAAAAUAUUAAUUUCAUAUAUUUAGUUAUUUACAAUAUAUAAAGUAUCAAUAAUAUUUUGGAUGCAAAAAUUUGAUCAAAUAAAUAUAAGGGGACAUAUUUUCAACCCAUAUAUAAAAAAAGCUCAACACGUUAAAUAAUAAUAAUGUAAUCAGUGAAUAGUUAAUCAAAAAUUUAAGACGAAACAUUUAUAAUUUUCUUAUUUUAAGAGUGUGAACAAUGGUAAAGUAAAAAUAUUUCUAUGUAUGCUUGAGUAUAUGAUAUAUAUUAUAUUUGUUUAGUAAUUUUCACGACACUAUUAAAAAGAAUCCAUUUCAUCAGAAAUAAUAUAGAUUAUUCAAAAUUUCAAUCAAAAAUGAAAAAAAACUAAAAUUUGAUAUUAUAUCAUAUAUGAUAUCAAAAGAAGUAGCAAGAGAAAAAAAUAAAAAUAAAUCAACAACAAAGAAAUUAUUCUAUCAACAACAAAGAAAUUACUCCAUCUACAACUCAUGAGAUAAUAAUCAAAGAAAUACAACUAAUAACAACUUCUCAACAUCAUCCGGA